CUUCAGAUGUGGAAUUCUUGGCUUUUCUUGGCCGUCUUCCUGGUAUCUCAGAAGUAUUGUGGGAGCAAGGAGGGUGCAAUCUUGGACUGGAAUGCCAAAGCGAGACACUGAGAUCCCCACUCCACACCCCAGCCCUGGAGUGUCCUAAAACUGAGGAGAGGAAGAGUGAAAGAGACCAUACCUCCUGCCCUCUACAGUCUCCUGAGCAAGGACACACAGUUCCAUAACUCUGCUGUGGAUUGAAAGAAGACUACAUCCCAGCUCUGCUCUGCCGGCCUCUCUCGUUUCUGAUCCCAUUGCCUGUUCCCUGAAGCUAUGGUGAGCCCUACCAGAACUAGGGAGACAUUCUGACAACUCAGACUUGGAGGGAUGCCACACCC
rnacentral:lncRNA from 1 species